UUAAGCGACUAAGCGUACACGGUGGAUGCCCUGGCAGUCAGAGGCGAUGAAGGACGUGCUAAUCUGCGAUAAGCGUCGGUAAGGUGAUAUGAACCGUUAUAACCGGCGAUUUCCGAAUGGGGAAACCCAGUGUGAUUCGUCACACUAUCAUUAACUGAAUCCAUAGGUUAAUGAGGCGAACCGGGGGAACUGAAACAUCUAAGUACCCCGAGGAAAAGAAAUCAACCGAGAUUCCCCCAGUAGCGGCGAGCGAACGGGGAGGAGCCCAGAGCCUGAAUCAGUGUGUGUGUUAGUGGAAGCGUCUGGAAAGGCGCGCGAUACAGGGUGACAGCCCCGUACACAAAAAUGCACAUAUUGUGAGCUCGAUGAGUAGGGCGGGACACGUGGUAUCCUGUCUGAAUAUGGGGGGACCAUCCUCCAAGGCUAAAUACUCCUGACUGACCGAUAGUGAACCAGUACCGUGAGGGAAAGGCGAAAAGAACCCCGGCGAGGGGAGUGAAAAAGAACCUGAAACCGUGUACGUACAAGCAGUGGGAGCCUCUUUUAUGGGGUGACUGCGUACCUUUUGUAUAAUGGGUCAGCGACUUAUAUUCUGUAGCAAGGUUAACCGAAUAGGGGAGCCGAAGGGAAACCGAGUCUUAACUGGGCGUUAAGUUGCAGGGUAUAGACCCGAAACCCGGUGAUCUAGCCAUGGGCAGGUUGAAGGUUGGGUAACACUAACUGGAGGACCGAACCGACUAAUGUUGAAAAAUUAGCGGAUGACUUGUGGCUGGGGGUGAAAGGCCAAUCAAACCGGGAGAUAGCUGGUUCUCCCCGAAAGCUAUUUAGGUAGCGCCUCGUGAAUUCAUCUCCGGGGGUAGAGCACUGUUUCGGCAAGGGGGUCAUCCCGACUUACCAACCCGAUGCAAACUGCGAAUACCGGAGAAUGUUAUCACGGGAGACACACGGCGGGUGCUAACGUCCGUCGUGAAGAGGGAAACAACCCAGACCGCCAGCUAAGGUCCCAAAGUCAUGGUUAAGUGGGAAACGAUGUGGGAAGGCCCAGACAGCCAGGAUGUUGGCUUAGAAGCAGCCAUCAUUUAAAGAAAGCGUAAUAGCUCACUGGUCGAGUCGGCCUGCGCGGAAGAUGUAACGGGGCUAAACCAUGCACCGAAGCUGCGGCAGCGACACUAUGUGUUGUUGGGUAGGGGAGCGUUCUGUAAGCCUGUGAAGGUGUACUGUGAGGUAUGCUGGAGGUAUCAGAAGUGCGAAUGCUGACAUAAGUAACGAUAAAGCGGGUGAAAAGCCCGCUCGCCGGAAGACCAAGGGUUCCUGUCCAACGUUAAUCGGGGCAGGGUGAGUCGACCCCUAAGGCGAGGCCGAAAGGCGUAGUCGAUGGGAAACAGGUUAAUAUUCCUGUACUUGGUGUUACUGCGAAGGGGGGACGGAGAAGGCUAUGUUGGCCGGGCGACGGUUGUCCCGGUUUAAGCGUGUAGGCUGGUUUUCCAGGCAAAUCCGGAAAAUCAAGGCUGAGGCGUGAUGACGAGGCACUACGGUGCUGAAGCAACAAAUGCCCUGCUUCCAGGAAAAGCCUCUAAGCAUCAGGUAACAUCAAAUCGUACCCCAAACCGACACAGGUGGUCAGGUAGAGAAUACCAAGGCGCUUGAGAGAACUCGGGUGAAGGAACUAGGCAAAAUGGUGCCGUAACUUCGGGAGAAGGCACGCUGAUAUGUAGGUGAAGUCCCUCGCGGAUGGAGCUGAAAUCAGUCGAAGAUACCAGCUGGCUGCAACUGUUUAUUAAAAACACAGCACUGUGCAAACACGAAAGUGGACGUAUACGGUGUGACGCCUGCCCGGUGCCGGAAGGUUAAUUGAUGGGGUCAGCGCAAGCGAAGCUCUUGAUCGAAGCCCCGGUAAACGGCGGCCGUAACUAUAACGGUCCUAAGGUAGCGAAAUUCCUUGUCGGGUAAGUUCCGACCUGCACGAAUGGCGUAAUGAUGGCCAGGCUGUCUCCACCCGAGACUCAGUGAAAUUGAACUCGCUGUGAAGAUGCAGUGUACCCGCGGCAAGACGGAAAGACCCCGUGAACCUUUACUAUAGCUUGACACUGAACAUUGAGCCUUGAUGUGUAGGAUAGGUGGGAGGCUUAGAAGUGUGGACGCCAGUCUGCAUGGAGCCGACCUUGAAAUACCACCCUUUAAUGUUUGAUGUUCUAACGUGGACCCGUGAUCCGGGUUGCGGACAGUGUCUGGUGGGUAGUUUGACUGGGGCGGUCUCCUCCUAAAGAGUAACGGAGGAGCACGAAGGUUGGCUAAUCCUGGUCGGACAUCAGGAGGUUAGUGCAAUGGCAUAAGCCAGCUUGACUGCGAGCGUGACGGCGCGAGCAGGUGCGAAAGCAGGUCAUAGUGAUCCGGUGGUUCUGAAUGGAAGGGCCAUCGCUCAACGGAUAAAAGGUACUCCGGGGAUAACAGGCUGAUACCGCCCAAGAGUUCAUAUCGACGGCGGUGUUUGGCACCUCGAUGUCGGCUCAUCACAUCCUGGGGCUGAAGUAGGUCCCAAGGGUAUGGCUGUUCGCCAUUUAAAGUGGUACGCGAGCUGGGUUUAGAACGUCGUGAGACAGUUCGGUCCCUAUCUGCCGUGGGCGCUGGAGAACUGAGGGGGGCUGCUCCUAGUACGAGAGGACCGGAGUGGACGCAUCACUGGUGUUCGGGUUGUCAUGCCAAUGGCACUGCCCGGUAGCUAAAUGCGGAAGAGAUAAGUGCUGAAAGCAUCUAAGCACGAAACUUGCCCCGAGAUGAGUUCUCCCUGACCCUUUAAGGGUCCUGAAGGAACGUUGAAGACGACGACGUUGAUAGGCCGGGUGUGUAAGCGCAGCGAUGCGUUGAGCUAACCGGUACUAAUGAACCGUGAGGCUUAACCUU
rnacentral:rRNA from 1 species